rnacentral:rRNA from 1 species
UACGAGGGGGGGCAAGCGUUGUUCGGAAUUAUUGGCGUAAGGGCGCGUAGGCGGUGCGGUAAGUCUGAUGUGGAAAUACUCCCGGGCUCAACUCGGAGUCUGCAUCAGAAACUGCCGUGCUCGAGUGUGGGAGAGGUGAGUGGAAUUCCCGGUGUAGAGGUGAAAUUCGUAGAUAAUUGGGAAGAACACCGGUGGCGAAGGCGGGCUCACUGGCCCGUAACUCGACGCUCAUGUACGACAGCGUGGGGAUCAAACGAGG